rnacentral:rRNA from 1 species
GCCUACGGGAGGCAGCAGUGGGGAAUCUUAGACAAUGGGGGCAACCCUGAUCUAGCCAUGCCGCGUGAGUGAUGAAGGCCUUAGGGUUGUAAAGCUCUUUCAGGAGGGAAGAAACGGUUGCAGCUAAUACCUGCGACUAAUGACGGUACCUUCAGAAGAAGCACCGGCUAACUACGUGCCAGCAGCCGCGGUC